rfam:Beta vulgaris subsp. vulgaris chromosome 5, whole genome shotgun sequence.
GUUUGGCAAUGAGGAUUGUUAAUCGCAGCUUUAAAUGCCAGUUCUGCUUCAGAAAAUUCUUGAUUGACAAAGCUGUUUUAUAUCUGAGCUGAAA